CUCCUUCUUCCCCUUGGCAGCACACCAGCACGGAUCCGUGGAUCUGUCUCAACUCCUCCCUCGGCCUCUAGUACUUCAUUUUUCAAAUGGCCUGGGAAGGUGGGAAAGUUCAGCUAGCUUCCCCCUUUCCCCGUCCUCACCGCUCUUGAAUCUCUGGAGGCCAUCAGGUCGGGGAAGCAGCAGCACACAGGAUGUGAGGUGUGCGGUACACGCAGGGUCGCCUCGUUUAACGCGACACAACGGAGACCAGUCGCCGUCCAGUCUUGUGCUGCCCACGGGACAGUUAUUUAUAAGUUACAGAAUAGAGGCUAAGUAAAUGUUUGCUUACAACCAUCCGAACAUUCCCUUCCUGCAACAGAAAUGAUGUCAAAAACAAGAGGACUAAAGCAACCCCACACUGAAAAUGCUUCAGACAAUAGAUGAACUCUGUGGAAUAAAAUAUACUUCGCUCUAUCCCA
rnacentral:lncRNA from 12 species